UCUAUUAAAAUCCUCUUUCCCCUUUCAAAUUCUUCCAUCCACAUGCAUGUAAAUGUAAUGUUGAGUCGACCAAGUCCUCCAAGGCUUUUACAUUACAAAUAAGUACUCCACUGCAGACAGUAGGGGGCAGCAGAGCGCUGCCUGCUGCCGGUUGGGGACUGUUUUGAUGACGUAGCUGUUGUCGUCUUGCCGUUCCGGCAAGAUCGUCGAGAUCCUCCUGUUUUACAGGUCAGUACGGUGUAUAAAAGCACAAAACAGAUGAAUAAGCAUAGCAAUCGUUAUCUCUUGUGUUUACGUUGUUUUUAGUAUGAACUAUGCAGUUUGUUCAUAGGUUUCUUACACUGUGCUAGACGUUAGCUAGCACUCCCGAUCCUCGGUCAAUGUCCACCAUUAACGUUUACGGCUGCUGGGCGCUGGUUUCACAUAUGAAGUAUUUUAUUUGUAUUUUGUUUACAAAAAAAUGUCACUAUCUUGCCAGGAUCGUUUAUUAAAUUGAGGACAGUGAACGGUUCUGUCAGUAAGAACUAUGAGAGAUUUAUCCCUGUUAAUAUAAAAGGUUUAAAUUCCCUUUUCAUAUAUUUAAUUAUUAUACUUUUUUGUUAAUAUUUCGAAGGUUUACAUUCACUGUAGGCUACGAGAGUUUUAAAUUCCCUUUUAAUGAGGAAAAUGAUGAAUUGAUGUGUGUGCUAGAUACAUUUUAUUCACUUUAUGUAAUUUGGUUACUUAGUUGAAUAUUACUGAGUGAUGUGCAAAAAGAGACUUCAUGUAAUGACUAAAAUUACUGUAUUUAUUAAAUGAACUCUGGGAAGACCGUCUAGACCAAUGGCAGCAAGUUUCCUCAGCCUCAUCAUUUCUGCUGUUUUACAGGUUUAUUACCUUUCCACAUGCCCUGUGCCUGGGGCCUGUAAGACAUAUAAGCUGGCUUGCCAACCGGCAAUAAAAGAAUAGCAGAAACAACAGCAAAAAGCUUUCGCCGUGGAAGAUACCGUUGCUAAGGAGAAGGAAUUGAGGAGGACUCUUCAACCGAUGAGGCUCGUCUUGGAAGACGGGGAAAUCCAGAGACCUGGAACGUGAAGGUCCAGAAAAGUAGGAGAAUGAGGCGCCUGGAUUGAAGGAGGCAAGACAAAUGGGUACACCAUGCCAGUCUGCAACCUGCUAAAGGUUCACUAAACUCUACUGCAGAAAAGCAGAAGACACAUCAUAAGAACAAGAUUUCUAAGUAUUUCUGGGGGAAUUUGGACUGGAGAAAUGAUUGUGAAGUCUGUGGUGGAGGGGAGCACUGUAAAGCGGCGGCGGACAGGAGCAGAUGAAUCCAGAAGGUCAGCAUCCAUUAUUUGUCACCCUGUAGUAGAUUGGAGAAGAAUCUGAAUGUGCCAACGCUUGUUCCUGUCAACAUUAGGCAUAAAGCAGUGGUGUUUUUUGAAGUGGGAGCCCUCUUGAAAACAGCCUCUGUCAAUGUAAGUUUUGUCAAACAACUCCAAUUCCAGGCCAUACCGUGUGAGGUACGUAUCUUCAAGGACUUCUGCCAGAUGGGGAACUGGGAAAAAGCUGGGGAUCCAACAUUGCAUGACCUCCAAACAAUCAGAUACAACGUGGAUGGCACCACUCAGAUGACUGGGAAGCCUAUCUGUCCCCAUCUCUUAAAAGAAGAGUAUCACCACAGCAGCCCCACUGUGCGCAUCCAGCCAGCCAGUUAAAGAGCUGAAGUUCAAACAGCCCCAAGAACUGAAGGUUUUCAGGAUUAGAAGGAGCUUUAUUGUCAAGUAGUGUUUUACACAUACGAGGAAUUUGCUGUGGUGAUAAGGUGCUACAUGUAGACAAACAUACAGUCAACAUAAAUAAAUGUGGAAAUAUAUAAAUAUGGAAUAAGAUAAGUUUUUGUAGCAACUUGUAUAGUGUAGUGUUUUGGGGUAACAUAAAUAUUAUCGCAGGAGUCCGGAAGGAUAGCUUUGGAUAAAUAAAUAAAAGCCAGGGAAUAAAUGA